UGCAGCACAUUGCAUCCAGUGGACCCAACGCGCAAACUCCAUUUUCUGUCGGACUUUCCUCACUUAAUUAAGUGCCUGAGGAAUGGACUACUAAGGUCGGACUACGAAACACCUGAGGGCCGGGUAUCUUUACAAUUCGUACGCAAAGCUUUGGAACUGGAUGGUUGCAGUGUCACAUUGCAGGCAAUGCAUGGAAUCACCGGAAGCCACACGAACCCCAACAAUUUUGAAAAGAUGAGAGUAUCUUUAGCUUUUCAGCUUUUCGGAGAAAAAGUGAUUCAUGGUCUGCAGCUGUACAAGUCAGGAAUUGAAGAUACCUGUGGUGACAUCACAGCUACACUAAAGUUUUUCAAGAUCAUCCAUGACCUUGUGCAAAUGAUGACUUCAUGAUUUCCAGCUGAAGCGCUGCGCUUAAGUUCAGCAAGUGUUGAGAAGCUGCGAUCGUUUCAGGAGUAUCUUUCAUCAUGGGAAGACCACACGAAGGGGCAGAUAGGAUUCCUGAGCCAGUCAACAGCAGCUGGGCUGCGAGUGACAGUGUCAAGUGUGCUUUCUUUGCUUCAGUAUCUCACUGAGAAACUAGGCUACAGGUACCUAAUGACAUCUAGAGUAAGCCAAGAUCCUGUUGAGCAUGUUUUUGGCAUUGUCAGGCAGUCCUCUGGAUGUAACACGCACCCAACACCACAGCAGUUUAUUAGCACUAUCAACUGCUUGAGCUUCAACAAUCUUGCUCACUCAGCUUCAAAGGGAAACUGUGAGCCUGCAGUGCUCCAUGCCCUUCUACCCGCAAAUUCAGGUGCUAAAAAUGUUCCAUCUGGUAAACAGCGCUUAAUGGACAAGUUUAUAAACAGUGACAAUGUAGCUGCCGUGCAGAGCUCGCUCCCACAGAGUGCGCCAGACCAUGCGUCAUGCAUUAUAUCUGCCAGGGACAACCGGCUAACAUUUUAUAUAGCAGGAUAUGUAGCUAGAAAAUGCCUACUGAAGUCUGGCUGCGCAGAGUGCCGUAAACUUCUUCUAAUGCAAAAGGAGUCUGCUGAAAGUCUCAAACACCUUGCGCAAUUGACACACAUGAAAGACAGAGGUGGCCUGCUUUAUCCGUCUAGCCUGUUUUUUAAGUUUGUUCAUGAUUUAGAAAAAGCCUUCACAACGUGUUUCAGUUUGCUGGAGCUGCACGCUGAUAGCAUACUCGACAUUUUAAGCGAAGUUAAGGCAAA